ACGCCCGUAGCUCAAUGGUAGAGCAGUCGCCUUAUACGCGAUUUGUUGGGGGUUCGAGUCCCUCCGGGCGUA
rnacentral:tRNA from 6 species